AGAAGGACGAGAAGAAGCGUGAAAAGGGAGUGCGAGGAUAAGAUAAAUCAGCAAAACGGUAUUUUUGUGUUGACACAUUUAGUUGCUGUAGCGAUUGGGGCCGGAAUCUUAUAUUGCGUUUUGAUCAUGAAAAAAAUGAAACGCGCAUUGAAGAGGGAUGAUAAAAUUAAAGAAGAAAGAAACAAAGAAAUGAACAAUGCCACUUUCAAUCUACAGAAAGGUUCGACUGAAAACAUGUCAGUUCCGUGCUUCAUGCAA